AGUGAACGCUGGCGGUAGGCCUAACACAUGCAAGUCGAACGGCAGCACAGUAAGAGCUUGCUCUUACGGGUGGCGAGUGGCGGACGGGUGAGGAAUACAUCGGAAUCUACUUUUUCGUGGGGGAUAACGUAGGGAAACUUACGCUAAUACCGCAUACGACCUACGGGUAAAAGCAGGGGAUCUUCGGACCUUGCGCGAUUGAAUGAGCCGAUGUCGGAUUAGCUAGUUGGCGGGGUAAAGGCCCACCAAGGCGACGAUCCGUAGCUGGUCUGAGAGGAUGAUCAGCCACACUGGAACUGAGACACGGUACAGACUCCUACGGGAGGCAGCAGUGGGGAAUAUUGGACAAAGGGCGCAAGCCUGAUCCAGCCAUACCGCGUGGGUGAAGAAGGCCUUCGGGUUGUAAAGCCCUUUUGUUGGGAAAGAAAAGCAGCAGGUUAAUACCCCGCUGUUCUGACGGUACCCAAAGAAUAAGCACCGGCUAACUUCGUG
rnacentral:rRNA from 1 species